CCCUUAGAUGUUCUGGGCCGCACACGCGCUACACUGAAGGAGGCAGCGUGUACUCCUGGAUCGAAAGAUUUGGGUAACCCGCGAAUCUCCUUCGUGCUAGGGAUUGAGGUUUGCAAUUAUCCUUCAUGAACGAGGAAUUCCCAGUAAGUGCAAGUCAUAAGCUUGCGCUGACUACGUCCCUGCCCUUUGUACACACCGCCCGUCGCUGCUACCGAUUGAAUGAUUUAGUGAGGACUUCGGACUGGGACCGAUGCGGCUUUCGGGCUGCGUCGGUAUUCUGGAAAGAUGUCCAAACUGUAUCAUUUAGAGGAAGUAAAAGUCGUANCA
rnacentral:rRNA from 1 species